GCCACUUUAGCUCAGUAGGUAGAGCGCAUCCAUGGUAAGGAUGAGGUCAUCAGUUCGAUUCUGAUAAGUGGCUCCA
rnacentral:tRNA from 1 species